ACCUACAAAACAGCUCAGCUGGUAAAGAAUGAGACUCUUGAAUCUCAUGGUUGUGGGUUCGAGCCCCACUUUGGGCA